rnacentral:rRNA from 1 species
ACUCCUGCGGGAGGCAGCAGUGGGGAAUUUUGGACAAUGGGCGAAAGCCUGAUCCAGCAAUGCCGCGUGAGUGAAGAAGGCCUUCGGGUUGUAAAGCUCUUUUGUCAGGGAAGAAACGGUGAGAGCUAAUAUCUUUUGCUAAUGACGGUACCUGAAGAAUAAGCACCGGCUAACUACGUACCAGCAGCCGCGGUAAUACGUAGGGUGCAAGCGUUAAUCGGAAUUACUGGGCGUAAAGCGUGCGCAGGCGGUUUUGUAAGUCUGAUGUGAAAUCCCCGGGCUCAACCUGGGAAUUGCAUUGGAGACUGCAAGGCUAGAAUCUGGCAGAGGGGGGUAGAAUUCCACGUGUAGCAGUGAAAUGCGUAGAUAUGUGGAGGAACACCGAUGGCGAAGGCAGCCCCCUGGGUCAAGAUUGACGCUCAUGCACGAAAGCGUGGGGAGCAAACAGGAUUAGAUACCCGAGUAGUCCCA